rnacentral:misc_RNA from 1 species
GAUGAAGAACGCAGCGAAAUGCGAUAAGUAGUGUGAAUUGCAGAAUUCAGUGAAUCAUCGAAUCUUUGAACGCACAUUGCGCCCCUUGGUAUUCCAUGGGGCAUGCCUGUUCGAGCGUCAUUUGUACCUUCAAGCUUUGCUUGGUGUUGGGUGUUUGUCUCGCCUUUGCGUGUAGACUCGCCUUAAAAUAAUUGGCAGCCGGCGUAUUGAUUUCGGAGCGCAGUACAUCUCGCGCUUUGCACUCAUAACGACAGCGUCCAAAAGUACAUUUUACACUCUUGACCUCGGAUCAGGUAGGGAUACCCGCUGAACUUAAGCAUAUCAUAACGGAGGA